rnacentral:rRNA from 1 species
CGCGCAGGCGGCUCGUUAAGUCCAAGGUGAAAUCCCACGGCUCAACUGUGGGGGGACCCUGGAUACUGGCGAGCUGGAGUGCGGGAGAGGGAAGCGGAAUUCCACGUGUAACGGUGAAAUGUAUAGAUAUGUGGAGGAACACCGGUGGCGAAGGCGGCUUCCUGGACCGUAACUGACGCUGAGGCGCGAAAGCUGGGGGGAGCGAACAG